CAUCUGCUUGCUGUACAAAUGUGUUUUUGCUACCAAUUGAACUUUGGGUCGCGUUUGAUCUGCUUCCAUGACGGCCAGCUGACUCGCUUGGUCACCAGAACAAAUGCUGAACCUUUACCUGCCGGGAAAUACGCCGUAGAAACUUCAUUUAUUUCCUAUUGUUGUCAUCUUGCCGUGUUUUUUUUCCAAGAACAUCCCAUAUCACAUCACUCAGCAGCAAGGAGGGUAGAGAUCAGCGAAGGAAAAUAUUCUUUUGGUGGCUUUCUUGGAAAAGUUCAUAUCAUUGGCCGCGCCUUCAUCCUAACCUUCUUCUUAACCCUAUCAGAUACAGGCUCUCAUUUUGAUUUGGCACGAAUGUCUGGAGCUCCUGAAGUCUAAAACUGGCUUUAAGGGAAAAGGACAUGGAAGGGACAUGCCGAUAUUAUCCAAGGCUGCUGCAAGGCUCAAUGGGCUGAGGGUGCAGCUCUGGGGCAGAUAUCCUGUCUGUCAGUCUGAGGUGCUGCCUGGAUGCCUAAUGGUCCACAACCAGCCACAUAUCCAAACACCUCUGAGAUCCCCG